AAUGAACGCUGGCGGCAGGCCUAACACAUGCAAGUCGAACGAAGCCUUCGGGCUUAGUGGCGGACGGGUGAGUAACGCGUGGGAACAUACCCUUUGGUACGGAAUAGCCUCGGGAAACUGGGAGUAAUACCGUAUGUGCCCUUCGGGGGAAAGAUUUAUCGCCAAAGGAUUGGCCCGCGUUGGAUUAGGUAGUUGGUGGGGUAAUGGCCUACCAAGCCGACGAUCCAUAGCUGGUUUGAGAGGAUGAUCAGCCACACUGGGACUGAGACACGGCCCAGACUCCUACGGGAGGCAGCAGUGGGGAAUCUUAGACAAUGGGCGCAAGCCUGAUCUAGCCAUGCCGCGUGAUCGAUGAAGGCCUUAGGGUUGUAAAGAUCUUUCAGAUGGGAAGAUAAUGACGGUACCAUCAGAAGAAGCCCCGGCUAACUCCGUG
rnacentral:rRNA from 1 species